UGAGGUAGUAGUUUGUACAGUUU
rnacentral:piRNA from 2 species